UUCAACUGCGGCUGCGCGCCCACCGCCCGCCCGGUACCUCCGUCGCUGAAAUCCCGGGCGAUGUUCCGCUUCGGCCUGGAGAGCGGGAUUCGGUCGAUCCAGGCGUACAGUUCCUGCAGGGCCUCUUUGCUCAGCUCCUGGGUCAUGGUCAGCGCUCUCUAACGGCUCCGGCGCUUUGGAACCGUCAGCGGCGGCCGUGUUGACAGCGCGUUGCCUGGUUACCGCAGGCAGGGGUCGGGGCUACGGUGCGGGAAGAGGAUCAAAAGGACUCAGAUGGCAUUUUAACAACAUGCUGAGUGGGCCACCUGUGACCACACUCCAUUGAACUUGCCAGGGAGGAAGCAGAGGUCUUAAAAAGGUUACUAUAUCCAGUUCACGCUACUAUUCUUUGAAUGAGCAGAACUCCAAUCAAAAGGGAAGAACAACAACAGAUGGUCAUUGCAUGUCAGCUUUACAGUUCUAACACCUGGAGAUAAACCUACCUGUUUAUUCUUCAGUCCUGGCAAUGGCUUUCCUGGAGGAGGAGGGGGAGGAGGUCUGGCCUAGAAGCAGAAAAUCAAAAACAUUUCAUGUAUGAAGAAGAUGCUUUAACUGCAUAAAUGUAACUUAUCUUCCCACCUCCAUUUAAGGACUUGAUUUGCAGUAACAACAAUGUGGCUAAAAUUUUCACCCACUGAGCACACCAAAAUAAAGAGGCAUUUAAACAUUUCUUAGAUAUCAUGUUACACCCCUAACAGCCACUGUGGGUGUGUCCAAACCACACAGAUUGUAGUGCUUCAAGAAGGUGGCUCACAACCACUUUGCCAAUUGCAUUAAAGAUGGGUUUGCCAGCGAUGCCCACUUCCCAUGAAUGAAUUUUUAAAAUCUCAAAUGUGUUCUGAACUGUGAUGCACAGGAAAUGCACACUUGCAUCAAGUUAUCUUGUUAU